UACGUAGGGGGCUAGCGUUGUUCGGAUUCAUUGGGCGUAAAGGGUGCGUAGGUGGCGCCGUAAGUCGGGUGUGAAAUUUCGGAGCUUAACUCCGAAACUGCAUUCGAUACUGCGGUGCUUGAGGACUGGAGAGGAGACUGGAAUUCAUGGUGUAGCGGUGAAAUGCGUAGAGAUCAGGAGGAAGACCAGUGGCGAAGGCGGGUCUCUGGACAGUUCCUGACGCUGAGGCACGAAAGCCAGGGGAGCAAACGGG
rnacentral:rRNA from 1 species